rnacentral:sRNA from 1 species
CUUUAGCCCCGAUUGUAGAGGAAAUCCUGACUUUGUGAGCUUGUGUACAAGCUCGCAAUGACAGAUUGGAACGGAAAGCGGGAACAGGG